rnacentral:rRNA from 1 species
UACGUAGGGUGCGAGCGUUGUCCGGAAUUAUUGGGCGUAAAGAGCUCGUAGGCGGUUUGUCGCGUCGGCCGUGAAAACUUGGGGCUUAACCCCAAGCCUGCGGUCGAUACGGGCAGACUUGAGUUCGGCAGGGGAGACUGGAAUUCCUGGUGUAGCGGUGAAAUGCGCAGAUAUCAGGAGGAACACCGGUGGCGAAGGCAGCUCGCUGGGACGUUACUGACACUGAGGCGCGAAAGCGUGGGGAGCGAACAGG